UACGUAGGGUGCAAGCGUUAAUCGGAAUUACUAGGCGUAAAGCGUGCGCAGGCGGUUUUGUAAGACUGUCGUGAAAUCCCCGGGCUUAACCUGGGAAUGGCGAUGGUGACUGCAAGGCUAGAGUUUGGCAGAGGGGGGUAGAAUUCCACGUGUAGCAGUGAAAUGCGUAGAUAUGUGGAGGAACACCGAUGGCGAAGGCAGCCCCCUGGGCCAACACUGACGCUCAUGCACGAAAGCGUGGGGAGCAAACAGG
rnacentral:rRNA from 1 species